AGCGGGUACGUCGGAGAAACGCGACAGAAAGUAUCAAGCUUCAAUGAGUCGUUGUGAUUUUAACAUCCGUCACGCAUUCGUGAUUUUCAAUUGAGAAAAUAACGCGUUGAUUCCGCCAAUCAAACGCUUCAUCGAAACAUCGACAUUAAAAAUGAAGUUUUUCGUGAAAAUGUUAUUCACGAUGGCGUUAUUUACGAUCGUUUUGUCAAAAUCGACCCCACCGGCGGAUUAUCAAAGCACCGAUCAACCAUCCACGUCGAACCAAUACGGUGGUGGUUAUCCUUAUCUCAUAAAUGUUCCAUAUAAAUCACCAUGUCCAGAGAAUCAACGGCAGGACCAAAAUGGAAAUUGUCGAGUGAUGGAAUAAUUUCACUCAUUAAGGAUCAGAAUCUGUUUGACAAAAAUUGCGAAGAAGCAAUGACUGGCUAUUCAAGGAUAAAUUGAGAGGAUAACGAGCAAAACGGGACAAAUAUUACUCAUGUCGAUAUUACGAUGGCAAUUUUAUGAGGUUAUACUUUAUAUUUUAUUUUAUAGUUAUACUUUAUUUUUUUUAUGUACAUAGAAGUUAUUGUUCACUUUUUAAGCUGUCAACCUCACAAUUAUACGUAUGAAUGUUUGACGAAUUGCGGUGAAAUAUAUCGACUUAAAGUGUCGUAGGUGAA